CACGUGGACAAUCUAACCUAAGGUGGGGGAUAACCCCGGGAAACUGGGGAUAAUACCCCAUAGACUAUGGGUGCUGGAAUGCUCUGUAGUUGAAAGGUCCGCCGCCAUAGGAUGAGUCUGCGGCCGAUUAGGUUGUUGUUGGGGUAACGGCCCAACAAGCCUGUAAUCGGUACGGGUUGUGGGAGCAAGAGCCCGGAGAUGGAUUCUGAGACACGAAUCCAGGCCCUACGGGGCGCAGCAGGCGCGAAAACUUUACAAUGCGGGAAACCGUGAUAAGGGAACUCCGAGUGCCCGUAAAAUCGGGCUGUCCACCAGUGCAAAUAACUGGUGAAGAAAGGGCCGGGCAAGACCGGUGCCAGCCGCCGCGGUAAUACCGGCGGCUCGAGUGGUGGCCACUAUUACUGGGCUUAAAGCGUUCGUAGCUGGUCUGUUAAGUCUCUGGGGAAAUCUACUGGCUUAACCAAUAGGCAUCUCAGGGAUACUGGCAGACUAGGGACCGGGAGAGGUGAGGGGUACUCCAGGGGUAGGAGUGAAAUCCUGUAAUCCUUGGG
rnacentral:rRNA from 1 species